GGUUUUAUAGUGUAUAUAACACUUUAGAUUGCAAGUCUGAAAAAGUAAUUUUUUAUUAAAACUU
rnacentral:tRNA from 1 species